UCUUCUGCUUUAGCCCUUCGAUGUGCCUGCGGUCAUUCUUCUCACCGAGAGUUUUCUCUCCUCGUUGCUUCCCCGCAUUUGUCAUCUGCUGUAUCACGGGUGCCUGUGUGGGUUUUCUCUGGAGCUGCUCUGCCCUGCUGCACCGUCUGGCAUAUAGGUGUAAUAGGACAGGGCCCAGGGACUUGAAGUUUGUAAUGUAGGGUGUAGUUUGACCUCAAGGUGGUAUUCCUAGAUUGACACAGGAUGGCUGGAGCUAUUAAGAUCCUAUGCAUCGCUUUGAUUUUUGUCAUCACUUUCUUUCAGAUGCAGACAGAUUAAAUCCGUGGCAGAGCACCCCACACCGGGUGAGGGGGUUCCCGCAGGAAGGAGGUCAAGCCGGAUCGCAGCAGUCAAAAUGAAGUGAGCAAGGUGGUCUGCUUGUAUUCUCCGAGCCUCCUUGCUGCCAGACCUGCCUCGCCACCCUUGUGAGCCCUCUGAAAAUAUUAUGGGACUAUUCGACCAAGCCUUCACCUUUUCCGUUCGAAGGGUCUUUCUGAGCAGCCUUUGGCAACGGCUGGGGAGUUGCAUCGAGUCAGGGAGGGGGAGGAGGAGUGAGGGUCUGCUCAAGUCUCAGCAAUGUCGCAUCACCUUGUCUCCUCCUAAUCCAGGUAUACCUUGCAAUGACAGUGUCAGUAUCGGAGCGUGGCCAAAGCGUACGGCCCGAGGACCCUGGCCCUAU